UUGAACGCUGGCGGCAUGCCUUACACAUGCAAGUCGAACGGUAACAGGUCUUCGGAUGCUGACGAGUGGCGAACGGGUGAGUAAUACAUCGGAACGUGCCCAGACGUGGGGGAUAACGAGGCGAAAGCUUUGCUAAUACCGCAUACGAUCUAAGGAUGAAAGCAGGGGACCGCAAGGCCUUGCGCGUUUGGAGCGGCCGAUGGCAGAUUAGGUAGUUGGUGGGAUAAAAGCUUACCAAGCCGACGAUCUGUAGCUGGUCUGAGAGGACGACCAGCCACACUGGGACUGAGACACGGCCCAGACUCCUACGGGAGGCAGCAGUGGGGAAUUUUGGACAAUGGGCGAAAGCCUGAUCCAGCAAUGCCGCGUGCAGGAUGAAGGCCUUCGGGUUGUAAACUGCUUUUGUACGGAACGAAAAGGAUCUGGCUAAUACCUGGGGCACAUGACGGUACCGUAAGAAUAAGCACCGGCUAACUACGUG
rnacentral:rRNA from 1 species